rnacentral:ncRNA from 1 species
CCCCCUAAAUUUAAGCAUAUUAAUGAGGGGAGGAAAAGAAACUAACCAGGAUUUUCUUAGUAGCGGCGAACGAAAAGAAAAUAGUUCAGCACUAAGUCACUUUGUCUUUAAUGGCAAAUGUGAGAUGCAGUGUAUGGAAUGUUCAAUUCUAGUAUGAGAAAUUAGCGAUGUAAGUCCUCCUUAAAUGAGACCAUAUACCCAAAGAGACCCUCCAGUGAUUACUCUCUAGACCCUCUAAUGAUUACUUGAGAACAAUUCCAAAGAGUCGUGUUGCCUGAUAGUGCUAAGUGGAUGGUAAACUCUACCUAAAACUGCUUUUGAUUUGACAGAUUGUUGACAGAUUUAUAUUUACAUAGUGCUUGAAUGUAUUCAUAUAUUUUAUAAUAGCAAAUAAGUCACCCAUUUUCAUAUUUAUUAUAUGCAAUUAUAUGAUUUACAAUGCCAAAGAUUCCGGAUAGCUUCAGGACCCGUCUUGAAACACGCACCAAGAAGUCUAACAUAUUUGCAAGUUCUUUAGAAUCUAAUAGAGAAAUUUACAUGAUCUAAUAGCGAAAUUUAUAUGACAAAAUUAAUAAGGGAUUAAUUAUUAGUUCUAGCAAACUCGGGGCGCUCUAUACAGUUAUGUAUAAUAAUAUUUAUAUUAUUUAUACCUCUAACUAGAACGUACCUUGAGCAUAUAUGCUGUAACCCGAAAGAUGGUGAACUAUACUUGAUCAGGUUGAAGUCAGGGGAAACCCUGAUGGAAGACCGAAACAGUUCUGAUGUGCAAAUCGAUUGUCAGAAUUGAGUAUAGUGGCGAAAGACCAAUCGAACCAUCUAGUAGCUGGUUUGUUUAUUAAAUGUGGGCAUUGUGCUCGCCCUAGCAACAGAAACGACCAUAAAGAAACCGUCGAGAGAUUACGGAAGAGUUUUCUUUUCUGUUUUAUAGUUGUACUACCAUGGAAGUUUUUCGAAGAGAGAUAUGGUAGAUGAGCUAGAAAUGUAUGACAUUUACGGUUGUGUUUUCUCCUCGGAUUUUGAAAAUUUAUGGUGGGGUCACGAAACUUCUCAACAGGACGUACCGCAGCUGGUCUCCAAAGUGAAGAGUCUCUAAUC